CGCGCCCCGCAGGUGUCCCGGUGGACCGAGUGUGGGCGCAGGGCAGCGCUGGGCCUUGGCGGCAUCUGCAGUGUGAUUCUGCUGGGGCCAUGUGAGCACAGCGUGCCUUCCCGUCCGACUCGCGGCGCGCCUUUGACCCCAGGUGGCGCCCGUGUCCUGGACACUCGGGCCCCCGGCCCCUACACCCACCCUCGCAUGUGCCACUCCCCUCUGCUUGUGGCCUUCCCCCACACUGUCGUUGGGGCUCGUUCCCAACUGUCACUCGCAGUCACGAAUGCCGGUCGCCUCGUGACCUUCUGAAAUCUGCUGCAGUACCUUCAUUGUUACCUGAAUUAAUUGAUGUUUUUAUUCAUUCACGCGGUUGGGCCAGUCCUAACCCUGGAGCUGAGAGCCUCGUUCGGCUCAGUGCAUAACCUCACUUAGCACUGGCAUAAUGCGGUUGUGACACUCAGCAUCACACACCCAACAGGCGUCCUGUUACAUUUAUAGGGCAUUUUGUAAUGUCAUUUAAGACAGGAAAGAGAUGAGGGGUAGCCAGGGGCUGGGGGCAAGAGGAGGAGACUCAAAACAAAGGUCUUAUAUAUCUUGAUCGGAGCCGUUACACAGCUAUGAAUUUGUCAAAAUUCUACACCUAAGUCGACCAGCCUUGAAUUGGAGUGUAUGCUGUUAAAUACUCCCAUCAUACUUGAGUUAAAGUUACCAGCAUGUUGUCACUGAAUGCAGAGUUGGAAAGACGCACAGCAGCAACUAUUAUGUGAUAUGUCUCUUCUACAAAUUUUAGUCAUAUAAAUAAAAUAUGGUAAAUAAAUGCUCAAAACUCA